UGAACCUUUCCAUCAGUUUUUCUUUCUGCUUCUCUGCUCCCGCUGUCCUUAGUAUGCAUACUUGCUCAACGCCUUGUAUGUAUCCAUUCCCUCAACUGUUUAAGGCUGGCUCUCUGCCAUGCUCUGACACUGUCCUUGCAAAGGUUGUCAUCACUAGCUAUCGCCAGCUGCCCUUGCCGCCUCAUUCCAAUACUGUCCUGGCCCAGGCCCUGUUAUCCCCCACUGGCACAUGCCCAACGACUGCCGGAAGUAAACGAGAAAGAAGAGGAAGUCAGAUUUGUGUUUCUUAAUUAGAAGAAAAAGGAUCAAAGGCUAAAUUGCAAUUAUCUGCAACAGUUACUUCUCGGUUUGCUGAGGCACCACGAGACAAGCCAUCUACCAGUAUGGUAUGACUACUGACAUCAAGGGUCUUCUGUGCCUCUAAGUCAACUGCAGGACUGUAAUUAUCGCCAGGAGAGUGGGAGGACGUGGUGCUCGCGCAUUCUGCAGUGCAUUUUGGCCUUCGCUACAGCGGAAGGAGUAGGGCUGUCAGCACUGAUUUUCACGUUGCUAAAUCAGCAGAAUGCUUUCCAACUGGUCUAGACGUGUAUCAUGCCUAAUGAAAGAAGAACAAAAACAAACAAUUGAAUUUUCAGCGGUUCUCACCAAGAGGUUAUACUAUUCAUCCUCAAGGCGGUAUUGGCUUCUGUCGAAACGAGCACCGGAAAAAUAAAUGUGUUCCUAUAGUCAGGAUGAUGGUUACCUAAUGAUGAACCCACAUUUCCCGUCACUUGGGCAAUAAGUACUUGCCAGCCCUUCCAAGUUGAUUGUAAGCUCCUUGAGGGCAAGGGGCAGGGUGGUACACUUAAGCAAUCGCCCACAGUGACUUGCAGUUAGUGGCCCAUUAGGAGUUGAUGGCUCAAGGUUUGUUUUGGUUUGUUUUUUUUUCCUCCAGCUAGACCAUUCACCAUAACACUGAGUUAGGACUCAUGUCUAUUUUUGUAUAGUCUACUGGUCACCUCCAUCAUUUACAUUUUAGGUAGGACUUAAAUGUGUAAACUACUGAACUGGUUAAGGGAGUCAAAGGCAGAAAUAAAGCCCUUUUCUAUUUCACCUCCCCUCCCUCCCUGCCUCUGAUACACAGGCUGAUAGAACUGAUGCAAGAAUGACCCUGAUCUACGUAGUCAAGGCUAUGUGGUCAUGGCAGAGGGACAGACACGUACCGCGCCGGAAAAGAGAACCCACACAAAUAGGCCCCGCUGCUUUUUGACAAAGGUACGAAAGCGAGUCCACGGAAGGAGGACACCCUUUUCAACAGGAUAUCCUUGAACUACAUUCACUAGCAUAGGAAGCAGGAGCCUUGGAACGCCUGCGCUCUAAGGAAAAGGUUCUCACCCUUAUUUCUGGGUCCCGGGGCUCUUAGGAAGUGCCUCAGGAGUCUGGGGAGGGGGAAAGGGGCGUGCUCCCCUCCUUCCUGCAAUUUCCACCUUGGGUAGCACCUUUUCUAUUUAUUUUACUAAUUGGGUUCACCUCAGAUUUCCUUUAGGAAUAGACUGCAGCCCUUCCUAAAACAUUUGGAAACCGCCGGCUGCUCCUGUCGCACGCUGUCCCUCGGAGCUGAGGUUGCGCUCAGGGACCCUUGUCUCCGCACUCCUCAUCUGGGGAGACAGCCGGGACGCCUGGCAGAGAAGGAGUGAGAAAUGCUGGAAAGGAGGAGGACAACAAAGGCCCUGAGCGGCUGCUCUUCCUUUCCUGCCCUCGCUACUGCGGCCUGCGGCCUGCGGUGCUCAUGCAGGGCUGGCCCCAGUCCUGGCGAGAGCAGACAACGCCCGGCCUGAGGCUCUGGGCCAGAAACUUCCCUUUUCAGAGCAGAAAAAUGAGCCGGUGUGGAAGGGAUUUUUGGAAAGAAAAUAAUUAUUCUUUGAUUUCUCUUUUCAGUGUGUGUGUAUGUGAGAAUAAUGAAUGAGUAAUAUAAGGUGUGAGGAUUCAAGGGUGAGGUGAUUGAUCAGCUGAUGGAAAAGAUCCUGGAGACUGGAGAAUUCAGAUGAACAGAUGCUUGAUUAGACAAGCAAAUGUGCCAGUGUGCAAAAGGGAUUUAUGAAAAUAUUUGGGGGGAAUGUGUCAGUGUUUAUUUCAAUAGAUAAUUGAUUACUAGCAAAUGGUUAAUAAUAAAAUAAUUUUUUUGGUAUAACGGUAUGUAAUGAGAUCAGUGAAAUGUCACCUAGCUAGUUCCACAUUCAAAUGGCACCAAGGAGUCCACUGAAGGACUAUUAACUAGAUGACCCUGGGGGUGGGCCCAGCGGAAGUAGUGAGUGAUUUCUCUUUCUCAGCAACUGUAACAGCGCACGUUGCAAUGUGUGCUGUUUCUACUUUCUCUGAAAGAGGUGUGAGCUCUGGAAAGCGUCACCUCCCCGUUGGUGGUGGAGUUCCCUUUGGAUAGACUGGGGCUUCAUAAAAACUGUUCCAAGUCCCCAUUAGGGUUUUCUCGGCAUGGUAGACCCCUCCUUCAGUUCUAGCUGACGGUCAAGGCCAGGGGGAGGAGGUGACAGAUUUAAAGGGAAGAGCACGUGUGUCUGCACCAUAGAGCUGGCCAGCAGGAAGGGAGGCCUGGAGUGCUUUGGAGAGGAAUUCCCACCUCCUUGAUCUCCUGUGCCUUUUAAGGCCUCUUGAACUUGCUGGGCCAAAGAGGAGCUGAGACCGUGUAGUUGGCCAAGUUCCCAGGAGCACUGCAGGGUUACUUCCUGGGGCCUGAGGCCUGCCAUAUGGCUAGGUUCAGCCUCUGUCCCAGUAAACAGUUUCUCAGGGAGGUCUGCAGUGCCCUACUGGGUAGGGACGGGGUGGAGGGGAAAGAGGCGGUAGGACUUACAUCCAAACCAUUAAUAACCCCUUUCCUCUUCGAAUUGACUGGAGUUUCCAGAGGGCGUUUGGCCAUCCGCGCUACAAUUAGGAAACAGAAAACCUAACCAACAUAAACACAUCUAAACCACAGACGAAAUCACCACUCUGUUAUAACCCAUCCAAAAAAAAAAGAAAGAAAGAAAAAAGCACUAUCCAGCCAGAAUCUAGCCCAUGACCAGCCUGGGCUGUCUGGGCCCCCCAAAGGUCUGAGAGGAUCCUAGAGGCCCAGGAUAGGGGAGCACGGGCAGGGCUCACUCAGCAGGGUUUGCUUGCACUGCUCUUAGCUCAGGUGGAGUGCUCCGCGGUAAUUCAUAGCCCUCCCGCUCCUUCUUGAAAGCAUUCUCAUUUGGACCAUCAACUAUAGGGUCUCUGAAUGAAUGAACCGAUAAGUUGACUCCUGGCCUCCGCCAAGGGUCUGCAAGUCCGCUCUGAAGUCUCACUCUUUCCAGACAACUCUUCAACCUGGGUCAGCACACGUGGGCAGCAGUUCAAGUCUAGCCCUUGGCCUGAUUUUGUAGUUUUGUACAGCCCACGGCUAAGAACAGUUUUUCCAUUUUUAAAGUUUUUUUUUUUUUUUAAAGAAUAAUGUGACAGAGGCUACAGGUGGCCCAUGAAGCCUAAAAUAGUUAACUAUCUGGCCCUUUACAGAAAAAGGUUGCCAAUCCCUGAUCUAAUCAACCCCUGAUCUUGCAUUUUGAGGGGGAGGGCCGGGAUCCCGGAUCAUUAUUAAUGUUUUUGACCCCAGAGAAAAAUGAGCAUUAUGCAGCCUCAUCUUACCUUUGCCAAAUUCAAGUCCAGCUGAGGGCUCAAGGUUAGGGAGGGACGUCUGUGUUUGUGAGAUGAAUGAUGCCAACUAAACAUGUCACCUACUGGAGAAUCCCACACGGACACAGACCUCUGUUGAGAUUCCCUAUCUCCUCCCGGAGGGCUCUUCACCGUGCAAGGAGAGGAAGGAGGGUUAGAGCUGUCCUGUGCCAUGACAAAGGGCUUCCCUUCUGGUGGAAGACGAUGCUGAGGCCACGGGUCCUGCCUAUGGGCUAGAAUGCCUCUGUAGCCACAGGCCCCUUUGGUGGUUUCCUGCCACUGAUCAAAUCCAGCUGGGCCCUUGGAUACUCCAAUCAUGCACUGUUU